rnacentral:rRNA from 1 species
GAUGAACGCUGGCGGCGUGCCUAAUACAUGCAAGUCGAGCGAACAGACGAGGAGCUUGCUCCUCUGACGUUAGCGGCGGACGGGUGAGUAACACGUGGAUAACCUACCUAUAAGACUGGGAUAACUUCGGGAAACCGGAGCUAAUACCGGAUAAUAUAUUGAACCGCAUGGUUCAAUAGUGAAAGACGGUUUUGCUGUCACUUAUAGAUGGAUCCGCGCCGCAUUAGCUAGUUGGUAAGGUAACGGCUUACCAAGGCAACGAUGCGUAGCCGACCUGAGAGGGUGAUCGGCCACACUGGAACUGAGACGCGGUCCAGACUCCUACGGGUGGCAGCAGUAGGGAAUCUUCCGCAAUGGGCGAAAGCUUGACGGAGCAACGCCGCGUGAGUGAUGAAGGUCUUCGGAUCGUAAAACUCUGUUAUUAGGGAAGAACAAAUGUGUAAGUAACUAUGCACGUCUUGACGGUACCUAAUCAGAAAGCCACGGCUAACUACGUG